rnacentral:sRNA from 1 species
UGAUGAUGGAUUACUACUGGCAAAAAGUGCAC